GUGUUGAAGCACGGGUCAUCGUAGAAGUCAUCGGCGGCUGUGAAGGAGCAGAGGGAGCCCUCCGUCAUCUCCAUGGGGCCAACAGCCCGCCCUGCCGCCGCGCCAGGGAGAGCGGCCGCCCCGAUGCCCGAAGGUGCUGGGUGCCGCUGGCCUCUCGCCCGGGGGGACAGCGGCGCGCCCCGCUGUCCCCGCACACACCGGUGUGAGUUUCUUCCUCACAGGGAAACAGCUCCCAGCCCCUGGACAGAUCUGUCCGCGGCUCCGCGGCCACAAGGGUAAUUACUGCGGGGGCUCCAGGGGACACCGCGGGCAGCCGGGACCGUGCGGCACGGCGGAGAAGCGGGGACACCAGGGAGAGCCAGGAGUUAUAAAUGUUGGCGAAAUUUCAGCUUGUUCAAAAUGAGCAGCAAAGCUCUGUCUUCAGUGGGACAAGGGGCUGACUGACAUAAUCGCAAAAGGAUGUGAUUGUAAAGUAAGCUGGGAAGGCAGAAGCAGAUUGUACUUCCUACACUGAGAAACAUGGAUAGACUCAUCCUAUGCACACCUGACAGAGGAUAGAGGCUGGGGAAACAGCUGAUUGUGAGUUUAUCUGGAAUUAACAGAAUUGUCUUUAGAGGCAGAGGGCUCAGAACAUGUUCUGGCAAAGGAAAAGGGAGAGAAAAAGACUUAAAUUCUUAGAGUGUGUGGAUACAUUUGGUUAGAAGAUGAACAUGAGAAGUCUGAGAAACAGACAUGGCACUACUUCAUGGAAAAAUUAGAGGCAACUUAACUGCUAUGAUGGACAAAAGAGGAGCAUUCUGCAUUAACUAAUUUGGUAGAGGAGAAGCAGCCUCUUGGUCUUAAACAAAUGAGCUUCUCUCUCUUCCAGAGCUUGAUGCAGGAAGAACUUCGAAAUAUUUGGUAGAGCCACAUGUGACUGAUCAAAAUAUUCACCCUAAGGACAAAAAACAAGAGUGUUAAGAUCUGCCAGAUAUGGGACUCACCUGCAGCAGAAUGUGGCUUUAACAGAACUUGGGAGAUCCUUCCAAUGGAAGGUAUUUUGUUUACAUAGCACAAUCACUUUGGAGACCUUGAUCUGACUUCUACAAUAAAUGAACUAGAUUCUUUUGGCUGCACUUUGUGAUCUGGAGUUGGUACUGUUUAUUCUUUCACCACAGGAGCAGAAUUUGGAGAUGGACAGCCUCUGUUGCUUCUCAUUUGGGAGCUGCUCUGGGGCUUUGGUGUACAGGGCACAUCCUGCAUGAGUACCACCAGCCCUCACCCUCCUGCUGGUCUCUAGGUGCCUGUCCUUUCUUCUCUUUCUGCCUGGGAGCUCUCUCCCACUGCUACACAGCCACAGUGCUCAGACAGCCUCAUCCUCUCCCUUUGCUCCAUUCUCCCUUCCCUGGACCUGGGGGAAAAUUCUGUGCUAAGAGGAGAUUUGGGGUCUGUGUGUAGCUCUGCAGUCAAGCCUAGAAGAUUGUCUUUUUGCAGAGCAUUUGUUGAAUUUUGAAUUGAACAUUCUCCUGAUUUCACUGGAAUUAAAAGGUAGAACUCAGAGUAUGUUUGGCUCCUGUCACUUAAAGCAAUCAGCACCGUUAACUGGUAAUCUUGGGACCCCUGGCUUGAGCAAGUGCAUGACAAUUCUUAGGAUGCCUGUGCUGAAAGUCUUCUCUUAGUGGACCUUGAUGGGGUUUGGUUUCAUUUGCUCCAGAAUGGAUUGCCCUUGUUGCUGUUGCUGCAGGCUCAUGAUCUGGACCCAGCCCUAGGACUCAAGCAGGACUGAAGGACACAUGGAUGCGGAUUUGCCUCUCCCCGAGGUGCUGCUGGCUGGGUCACUGCCUGCUGGAGGGGGUCUCUAAUACCUGACUUAACCUGAAGCAUGCACUUCCUCAGGAGGUCUGCAGCAGGGCUGGAGGACUGCAAACACUGCAUCCCUUCCCUCCUGUCAGCUGCUGCCACAUGACUGCAGUGCCCGUGCUGUGCUCUCAGCUCCCUCCCCCUGAAAUGUUCACCCUGGUGGUUUGUAAGGAGCUGCCUUGGAGCAGGCUUUGCUUUUGGUAGCAGUAUCCCUUGUUGCCAUGUCAUUCAUGAAGAAGAUGACUUUAUCCUUGCCUUUAUUCCACUGGGACCAGCUGCUCUACCCACAGGCACCAAAAGUGACAAAUCUGCCAUAACCUUUUUUAAUUUUCAAUUGAAACUCUACAUCACGUGAACUUCUUGGGGGUUUUUUGGGAGGUAAAGACAAUUUUUUUCUUUUUUUUUUUCUUU